rnacentral:miRNA from 1 species
AGUAUCCAGAAAACUCUAAUU